CUAAGCUGCUCCAAGUAACAAUCCUGUUAGUGGACCAGAAAGCUGCUUUCUCUCAGACCAUUGAUUUCAAAGCUGGAAAACAGCAGGCACUGUGUUGGGAGUAAGCAAUGUGGAGUCAUCUCUUCCCCCAGAGAAACGCUGACAAGUAUUAGCUCACAGACAUGUGUGCACAAAGAUGGAUGCUCACAGUUGUCCGUUGGAGCACUGUUUGAAGCAGCAAAAGGAACCAAUUCAACUUUCCCUGAGUAGGAAAAUGGCUAAAUAAAUGGUAACUUAUUCACAGAAGGGAAUAUAAUACAGCUGUUAAAAUCAUGAAAAAAGGUACAUAUUAUACCAUGAAUAAAUCUCAAAAACAUCAGUUCUAAAAAAAAGAAAGUAGCUAAAGUAUCCACCCAGCCUGAUACCAUUUACAUAGACCUUAAAGAUCCAAUACAUGCAAUAGUAUAUCUUGAUCAGGAAUUUGUAUGUGUGAAAUAAAAUUACAAAAACAUGCUGUAAGAUGGGCAUUUCCUCUGAAAAGGAAAGCAUGAGGGAAGUAUGGGGGUGAGGCUUUAUCUGGUCGGUAACAUUACUUUUUUUAAAGAAGAAAGAUGAAGCCAAAUAGACAAACUAUCAAUUUUUGCUUAAUUUUGGUGGUGGGUACUUAAGUGUCAGUUAUAUAUUUUUUUCUGCAUGAAAUAUUUUAACAUGAAAACAACAUUUAAAUAAAAAACACAGAGGCAUUAUCUGUGAGUAUAAUAGCUCACAUUUUAGUGAGGAAGAGAAACAAGCAAACUAAGAGUGGUUUGAUAAAUGCUGAUAACACAAAAGACAGGGCAGCUGCUGGCAGCUCCGCCUGGGGGCUUGGGAGGACCUGUUGGAAGAGGUAAUGGUUGACUGAAAUGUUGAAAAGCCGCAUGGAGUUAGGAGGACAGGUUGGAGAGGAACAUCCCAGGAAGAGAACAGAGCCAUUGUUGAUAUCUCCAUAAUGGUAGAAUAAUAACACACAUUACUAAAAAUUUAUCUUGCUAACCAAGGCCAAGACUCCCCUGGGUUGGAGAUAAGAUAAGCUCCCCUUUCAGCAGCAUCAGAGGCUGCUCAGGGCCUGUGACAUACCCUUGGAGAAGAAUCCUCCAUAUGCAAAGUGGUCUAAUGGUUAACUUCUAAAAGAAAAUAGCUGAAUCUGAUGGCACUAUGGGCCAACUACCACUUCUAAGAACUUUACCUGUUUUGACUCACUUAAACAGCCCCCUGAGGAAGGUACUAUUAUAGUCAUCCAAUUUACAGAUGGGGAAACUGAGGCACAGAGAAGUGAAAUAAUUUGCUCCCAGAUACUCAGCUAUAAGGGGCAGAGCCAAGAUUUAAACCCAGACAGUCUGGCUUUACAGUCUCAUGCAAGGUCCCCAGAAGGUCUCUCUCCUGGGUCCUGAGAUAUUACAUUGCCUGGGCUCUCAAUACAGCAUUGAGCUUAGCUGCCUUGGUUCCAGGCCCUCGCCUUCUGGAUUCAACCCAGCUACAAAAACCCUCAGCCCUGACUGUUCAUUCAAUGCCUGGCUCCCAAUUUCCAGCAAGCCCUUUCUGCCUUGACUCCAUCUGCCCCGGCUCUUGAGCUGCUCAUGCCUGAACCCCAUCCCAUGCCUGCCCCACGCCCUCUCCUGCCUCCUGUCUUACAGCUUGCCAUCCUGCCCACCUGAGGCUCUGCCUACUGACAUGCUAUUCCCAGGACAAGACCAGCUUCCAGGACAAGCACUGCACUCAGAAGCCAUGUCAUUCAAAUCAGGGGCAGGCUUGUUAGGGUCAAAAAUGGUCCAAAUUCUGGGGAUGUCAUUUGAAAAAAGACUGUUUUCAGGAAACAAUCUUCCUAUCUGUGGUGAUUUUAAAAAUAUAGUUCUCAAAUUGUGUGUAGGAAAGGAAAGUAGCAAUAUGGGUGCAGGAAGAGCAUGACUGUGUGGAUAAAAAGAUGAUGUAUGCACAUGAACAUGCAGAACUGAGAACUCAGGUUAAGUUACAGCAAGAUAUGGCAGGUACUGUGGUUUGAAUGUGUUCCCCAAAGUUCCUGUGUUGGAAACUAAAUCUUCAAUGCAACAGCAGGACCUUCAAGAGGUGAUUGGGUCAUGAGAGUUCUGCACUCGUGAAUGGAUUAAUGUCAACAUCAUCAAGAAGCCCCUUGCCAGAAGCAAGCCUCAUGACUUAGGACUUUCCAGCCUCCAGAAUUCUGGGCAUGGUGGCUCACACCUG
rnacentral:lncRNA from 1 species